rnacentral:tRNA from 1 species
GUUUAAAUAGCUUAAAUAUAGAGCAUGACGUUGAAGAUGUUGAGGUGAUAUAUUAAUAUCUUUAAGUA